rnacentral:tRNA from 1 species
GGUUGUGGCUCAAUGGUAGAGCACUUGCCUAGCAUGUGUGAGGCACUGGGUUCAAUUCUCAGCACCA